AAUUUGUUGAUUCAUAUACCCAGCAUUUAAAUUAAAAAAAAUAUAUAUAUCCAAUCAUAUUUUAGGUAUGUUUAACACAAUUCUGUUAGUUUUCGCGGCUCAUUUGGCAACUCGCUUUAUUACAUCGUUUUUCUUUAUCAAUUUAUUUUUGGUGUUCCGCGAGGCGACUAAAAAGUGCAAGUGUUCCGUGUCGAAGUUGGGAAAAAGUUUGGGAAACGCUGGCUUAGGAUAGGGAGGAGGUCGCCAGCAAUCCUCUGGUACUAAAUUAUCCCUUACGGUAUUUGAACCUGCGAAUCUAAGCGGGGUAAGAAAUCAAGCGUAUUACUAAGGCUUAGAACGAUGCGCCACUCAACGCGAACGUACUCAGCUGCAGUGCAUUGGCUGACAUAGAUACUAAAUACAUUAAAAUACGUGUAUACCCUUACCCUGGAUCAGGGGUGGGCAACUUCUCUAGUCGGCGGGCCAGAUGUGAGAAAAUGAAGUCCUCGGUAGGACGGCUUAUUACAAAAGGUACUUCGGUAUCCAAUCUUUGUUAAAUGCUCGACACCCUCUGUCAACUUUACUUAUCUUGGGAUAUUCCAUGGUUCACAAAGUGCUUCAUACGGACAUAGGGUCUCCGCGAUCUAUUCGUUUACGCAAAAUGGCAUUAAUAACAUUUAAGAAGCAGCAAAUACAUCCGAGUUAUUAAAUAUAGUAAUUUCAAUUCACCUAUUAAUAUUGAUUGGUGAGUAACAAUUUGUUUUUGUUACGUUCUUACUGUUGGGCUACGUCAAUAGCACCUCUUCACGAGCUCCAUAACACCAAAUAUUUGAAUGGUCUCGAAUUGAUGAUCUAUAUAUUAUCAGUUGUUGUCGUCGGUAUGCUCUUGUAUUGAGCAGUCAAUUAUUUACUUCACAUAGAACCGUGAUUAAUACUGUUGCUGAUGUUAUGUCUCCGCCGUUUGGUUUGGCGAAGAAAUUACUAUACAGUAGUCAUCGAAACAACGUCACAUUAUACCACCCUUUAAACGACAUCGCCGGCACGUUAAUGUACGAAAACUUAAAAUUAUUCUUGGCUGCGCAAAUCAAUGAGCUAAGAUUUGUACGCCAGAGAAUGCAUUAAUAUAACACGCCGUUAUUCUUUCAUUGAGUUGUGGGAGAGUUACAUUUUUGAUGGCAUUCACGUGCGCGUUUACUCUACAAAUAUAAACAGACAAAUAUAAUGGAAUUGCUGGAUUCUUUGUACUAAGCUCCCGUCACUGAUGCAAAAAUGUGUGAUCUGAGAUAAACACCCCUGUCACGUUUUAGGAUAAAAAAUAAGUAAUUAUGCUGUUAGGAUUUUGGGUUGGGAACGAUUUGAAAAUUUGAAUUUCCGGCUGAAUCUGCAUCCCUCACCUUAACUGAAUAUUUACUAUUUCUAUUUAAUUCGAGCGUUGGCGGGGUGUUGUUUUGGGGUGGGGCUUGGUACAAAAGAUCCUGAGAAUACUACUGUGAACUAGGUUUAUACGAUAUUUGAAGCAAAUCCCAACCGUCAUUUGCAUUCUGCAUCUUUGAAAUCACGCUUCAGAAGCGUGAUCGGCUCGUAACGUCAACCUGGAGUAAUUAAAGUAAUCAGUUAAAACAUUUGAUUGCAAUCAAUCAGUUAGCUUUUUUCGUCAAAUAUUUUUGCGCGGGAAGCCACAAGCGACAUCGCUUUUAGUCAGUCACAAAUGUUCGUGGUAAGAUGAGGUUUGAUUUUGUGUAGGAUGUAUGGAUAGGUUGACUGUGGGUUAUGACAGUGAGUUCGAAACAAUAUUCAGGUGCAGAAAAUUAAAGGUUAAAGAUUCAAAGACACAAAGUAACGAACGGGAAAUAUUACAACGUUUUAAAACAGGACAAUUUAUCAUUGCACCAAAAGAAAUUCGCCAAGUUCGAGGUUUUCAUCACUGAGUGAGAUGGAGGCCUAUCACGUCUGAAGAGCAACUUUCUGAAACACUUCUUGAAAGCGGGAAAGACAAUUUAUCAUUAUAUCUAAAGACAUGCUGGGGGCAUUUGUCCGAUUAUGCAUCACUGAGAGAGGUGGCUGCCUCGAGUCUAAAGAGCAAGUAUGUUAUCAU